UGGAGUUCAAGGUAAAAAAGUUAAGCAAUAUGGAGAUUUGGAGGUUUGGGCAGGGCCUUUAAGUGGGAAAAGAGUAGCAGUUGUGCUAUGGAACAGAGGAUCAUAUAAGGCUGAUAUAACUGCUUAUUGGUCUGAUAUUGGCCUUGAUUAUUCCACUCUUGUUGAUGCAAGAGACUUGUGGGCUCAUUCAACAAAAGGAUCAGUUAAAGGACAACUAUCAGCAAGUGUUGAAUCACAUGAUUGCAGCAUGUAUGUUCUUACUCCAAAAAAAUAAGUUCAACCACAUCAAAUUAAAUGUUAAAAUUUAUGUGGAAAAAUACCACAAUGCUGGAGGAGUACUAAUACAUAAUCUAGUUAAGAGUAAGAACAAUAAAUUAAAAGGAUUUUGUUAUUAUAUCUAUGUUAUAUAGUUAAGAGACGUUUCUUUGUAUCGUAUUAAACUUAAAUAGUGAAUUUUGUGUGGGGAGAAUUUGAUAUGAG
rnacentral:misc_RNA from 1 species